rnacentral:tRNA from 1 species
UCCUCGAUAGCGCAGUUGGUAGAGCAAAUGACUGUUAAUCAUUGGGUCGCAGGUUCGAGUCCUGCUCGAGGAG